UGGGGAAUAUUGCGCAAUGGGCGAAAGCCUGACGCAGCGACGCCGCGUGGGUGAUGAAGGCCUUCGGGUCGUAAAGCCCUGUCAAGAGGGACGAAACCUCGUCGACCUAAUACGUCGGCGACCUGACGGUACCUCUGAAGGAAGCCCCGGCUAACUCCGUGCCAGCAGCCGCGGUAAUACGUAGGGUGCGAGCGUUAAUCGGAAUUACUGGGCGUAAAGCGUGCGCAGGCGGUUUUGUAAGCCAGAUGUGAAAUCCCCGGGCUCAACCUGGGAAUGGCAUUUGGGACUGCAAGGCUUGAGUGCGGCAGAGGAGACUGGAAUUCCUGGUGUAGCAGUGAAAUGCGUAGAUAUCAGGAGGAAUACCGAUGGCGAAGGCAGGUCUCUGGGCUGACACUGACGCUCAUGCACGAAAGCGUGGGGAGCAAAC
rnacentral:rRNA from 1 species